rnacentral:rRNA from 1 species
CCUACGGGAGGCUGCAGUGGGGAAUAUUGCACAAUGGGGGAAACCCUGAUGCAGCGACGCCGCGUGAGUGAAGAAGUAAUUCGUUAUGUAAAGCUCUAUUAGCAGGGAAGAAAAUGACGGUACGUGAGUAAGAAGCCCUGGCUAACUACGUGCCAGCAGCCGCGGCAAUACGCAGGGGGCAAGCGUUAUCCGGAUUUACUGGGUGUAAAGGGAGCGUAGACGGCUGUGCAAGUCCGGAGUGAAAGUCUGGGGCUCAACCCUAGGACUGCUCUGGAAACUGUACGGCUGGAGUGCAUGAGAGGUAAGUGGAAUGCCUGGUGUAGCGGUGAAAUGCGUAGAUAUUAGGAGGAACACCGGUGGCGAAGGCAGCUUACUGGACUGUAACUGACGUUGAGGCUCGAAAGCGUGGGGAGCAAACAGGAUUAGAUACCCCUGUAGUC